GAUUAACGCUAGCGGCAGGCAUAAUACAUGCAAGUUGAACGGCAGCACAGGUAGCAAUACUGGGUGGCGAGUGGCGCACGGGUGCAUAACACGUAUGCAACCUACCCUAUACAGGCGAAUAACCUUUAGAAAUGAGGGCUAAUACGCCGUAGUAUUACAGAUGGGCAUCUAUUUGUAAUUAAAGAUUUAUCGGUAUAGGAUGGGCAUGCGUCCCAUUAGUUAGUUGGUAAGGUAACGGCUUACCAAGACGAUGAUGGGUAGGGGAUCUGAGAGGACUUACCCCCACACUGGUACUGAGACACGGACCAGACUCCUACGGGAGGCAGCAGUAAGGAAUAUUGGGCAAUGGCCGCGAGGCUGACCCAGCCAUGCCGCGUGCAGGAAGACGGCCUUAUGGGUUGUAAACUGCUUUUAUACGGGAAUAAUAGAGUAUACGCGUACAUUUAUGCAAGUAUCGUAUGAAUAAGCAUCGGCUAACUCCGUG
rnacentral:rRNA from 1 species